GCCCGGUGCGGCCCCUCACCCCCACAACGCCUCGCCGUGAGGGGAGCGAGCCGCGACCCCCCCCACACACACUCACACACCGCCCCCCGCCGCCUCACCGUCUCCUCGGGGUCGAUGUCGAUGCGGAAGGUCUGCUGCUGCAGCGUCUUCAGCGUGAUCUGCAUGGCGGCGGCGGGCCGCCCGGCAGCCGAGCCGAGCCGAGCCGAGCCGAGCCGAGCCUUCCCCCUCCUCCUCCUCCUCCUCCCCUGGCGGAGGAGCGGCGUGAGGCGGCGCUAACGGCUGCGAGCGGCGGUUGAACGCCGUUGGGGCGGGGGGGGGAUAGGGGGGGUAACGGUAACCGGGGGGCGGGGGGCGCCGCGGCCGAGGCGGGAGGGAGGGAGGGAGGGAGGGAGCGGGGCGGAGUGCGCCUGCGCAGUGUGUUGCUGGGAAGAUCGGGGGGGAGGGAGCGGGGAGGGCGUUGCGCGUGCGCAGUUGGCCCGGCUGGGUGGUGCCGGGGUUUGCCCGCCGCGGGUGGCGCAUGCGCGGUGGGUGGCGGCGGUUGGCGGCGGCGGUUGGCGUGAGGAGAACGGGCGGCGUCGUGUGCGUGAGGGGGCGGUGGAGGAUGGCGCCUGCUCCCUGGGCUGCGCUGUCCUCAGAAGAGCGGGCUGGGUCUUCUCUCCGCAGGUGUUACUGCCGCUGUUUGUGAGGUGUUAGUGAGGCUUUCCAGAAGUUUCCGUCGUCUUGUCAGCGUUAGCCCCCCACCUUAACUUCGUCCCCGCGCGCGCAGACCCCCAGCCCGGGCAGUGAAGAGAACCCAGCCACAAGGAAUGCUUAAAGUUGAGGCAGCUACACAGGCUUUCCUGUGGUCAUAUCAGUGUCACUUUGCUGCUCCUGGAUAUGAGGUUUGCCAAGAAAGGCUGUGUGGGAUCUAGCAGUUGAAUUCCAGGCUGCAUACCACUUGAUGCCCAAAGCAUUUUAAAGCAAGUAUCGUCUUUCUGGCUUGUAACAACCACAGCUAGUGGCUGUGGAAGUUUAUCCCACCAGUAUCAGUGCGCAGAAGAGACUAUUGACUGGACAUCAAAAUUAAACUCUGUGCAUCUUUGUAUGCAGAAAGACUACUUGUCGAUAAAGAGAGGGAGGCUUUGAAUUCUACAUUCUUCAAGAAAGUUUAUGUGGAAGUAAAUGAAACCUUUUAACCAUUAAUAGUUUAUUUAAUCAGUAUUUUCUUUUGGAGCACUAGGCAAUUGAAAGGGAAGGAAAUAAGAAUGAUUUGGACAUGACAAAUGCCAGUGUGUGUCUCUGAGGACAGUUAGCUGAUGGCUGAGGCUGUUAGGAGGAAGGGUUAUUCUCGCUGUAGGGAGGUUUUACAGCGCUUCAGAGUACAGACUCUUUGCCAGCUAUUUUAGUAUUUAGACUUACUUUCAACUUCUGUCCUGUCUUUGUCCCUGUCUGUGCUGUAUUAACAAGCACAAAUGGAAGCCAGAAGCUGCGUGUUGGCCUUCCGUAGUUCAGCAGAGCUGCUGUGAAAAGGCUAGACAUCUGAAUGCUUCCAAAACAAGACCAAUUAUUGCAUGAGACAUUAGAAUGCCAAAUAAUGUGUAUACACAAAUAAUGUGUACACAAAUAAUGCAGCCCAUUGCUAUUUCUGCAGUCAGACAAUAUCACAGUAAGGGUCUUCCCCGCUUCAGGGCUGGACUAAGCAGUUGUGGAAUGGCUUGCACUACAAAAAGCUCCUAGGGAAAUGACAUCAGAAAUUGGCACCAAUUAAUCUAGAGUGUUGAUUCCAAGAAUAAUAUUUAUCUGAAAAAUACUGAAUCAAAUCAUGCAGGUCUAACUGGGCCUACUAUGAAUAAAUUAGACAGUUUAUUUUUGUAUGAGUCAUUAAUCAUAUUACAGUCAUCACUGUGGUUAUCUGAAAGUAUUUUAAUUUAAUCAAAAUACAGUUAAAACUCAUUUAAACAAAUUUGGCUUUAAUUGUCCUGCCUCACACACAGAUUAAUCUUUUCUAGCAUGGUGUGAAGAAUUAGACACCAACAUAGAUAUUUUUUCGUACAUAUCUGACUAUGGAUUUAUGCAUUUGUUGGUUUUGAGCAUGCACUUUACAGCAGUUUGCUUCUAUCCUUACUUUAGGAUAAAAGAGAACAGUAUGCCAUGCUCUGUGGCUUCCGUGACAGUGUGCAUAGCUCGUACAGGCCACCUGCUGUGGUGUAACGUAACUGCUGCAGUGCAUUGCUUUCCUGGCAUAUGCAUAACCUAACAGCUGGAGGGUGUGAGCCCUCUGGAUUCAUCAGGAAAUGGCUUUUAUGUGCACCUACUCAGUACAUUUCAAGCCAUUUGUAAAAUAAUGCUAACUCCUAGGUCACAGAGACCACACCAUCACUGCUGUUUGCAGGGGCAUGUGUGGUUUCACUUCUGAACUUCUGAUCAGAGUGCGGUCAAGAACAAAUUCAGACCCUAAUGCACUGAGCUUUGUUCAGCCAGGAUUUGAAAACCUCCAAGGACAGAGACCCCACAGCCUCUCUGACUCCUGCUACUGUGCUUAAUUAUUCCCACAGUCAUUUUUUCUUCUUUCUGUCUAUGCUGAACCACUCUAGUUGCAGGCAAUGUCACUGUCUCUUGCCCUCCUAACAGGCACUGCUGGGAAGAGCCC